rnacentral:rRNA from 1 species
CAGCAGCCGCGGGAAAACGGAGGGUGCAAGCGUUAUCCGGAUUUAUUGGGUUUAAAGGGUCCGUAGGCGGAUCUGUAAGUCAGUGGUGAAAUCUCACAGCUUAACUGUGAAACUGCCAUUGAUACUGCAGGUCUUGAGUAAAUUUGAAGUGGCUGGAAUAAGUAGUGUAGCGGUGAAAUGCAUAGAUAUUACUUAGAACACCAAUUGCGAAGGCAGGUCACUAAGAUUUAACUGACGCUGAUGGACGAAAGCGUGGGGAGCGAACAGGAUUAGAUACCCCGGUAGUCCCUGUCUCUUAUAC